rnacentral:rRNA from 1 species
GUGGAUUAGAUACCCUGGUAGUCCACGCUGUAAACGAUGAUUACUCGAUGUGUGCGAUACACUGUACGCGUCUGAACGAAAGUAUUAAGUAAUCCACCUGGGGAGUACGACCGCAAGGUUGAAACUCAAAGGAAUUGACGGGGGCCCGCACAAGCGGAGGAGCAUGUGGUUUAAUUCGAUGAUACGCGAGGAACCUUACCUAGGCUUAAAUGUAGUUUGACUUUUCCGGAAACGGGAUUUCUCUUCGGAGCAAAUUACAAGGUGCUGCACGGUCGUCGCCAGCU